GAUACCACAUGCUCAGUGUGGUUCACCAGCUUCUUUGUUAUAAAUAUGAUUCAAUGCUGGGAGCAUUAAGGAGACAGCAAGUUGAUGACUGUUCCCUUCACUUUGGACAGGCUAAAAUCAACUGCUGUUUCCUUUUCAUUUGCAUUUGAAAGAUAUAACUAAUGUGAUGAGCCGUUUCGCAGCAGGAAAACUGGGUCAUUAAAAUGAUAUUAAUUGAAGCUGGCCACAAUAAACGGUUGCGGUUAUAAUGCCUCCUGUUCUGAAAUAGAGCUAUCAUCCUGAGGCGAGCAGGGUAACUGAGUGUCACAGUCGGCGGGCAGCGUAAAGCAUCCGAGGGUCAGAUGUGGGAAACCAGGGAUUUUGCUUCUUCGGCAUAGUUUUCCAGGCAGCUUUCACUUGCUGACAGAGGUGACUGUUAGCUUGAGGACUAGCUUGAAAUUAGCUUAAUUGAUUGCUUUUCCUGAUGGAAGUAGACUGACAGGUUGCCCUUAAAGAGAGCACAAUCUGAGAGAGGAGAGAGAGAGAGAGAAGAAAAAAAAAAAAAAAUAGGCCCAAGGUCAUCAGAAGAGAGAGGAGUCUCUGGUGAGGAUUUGAGCUGCGUCCAGCAUUGGAUAUUUGUCAGGAAUGCAGAUACCCUGAAGGGAACACAGCAAUGGUCCAACGGGGUUUCCCAGAAAAAAUGAGACAAA